CUCUAAAAGAGAGUGACGGGCGAUAUGUACACAAAUAAAUUAUUAUUCAAAUAAAUAACAUACAUUUAUUUUACUUUUAAAUUCUACUUUACAAUAUAAUUACAUAUAAAACAUAGCUAAAUAACAAUUUAUGUAAUUUAUUUCAAUCUUUUAUAUAAGCCGCAUCUAUACCUAAAAUUUUACUAAGACACUAGAAAAAUAAAA
rnacentral:rRNA from 1 species